UUUUUUUUUUUUUAAAUUAAAAUACAUUUGGAAUCCUCAGUUUUAUUUUGGUCAACUAAUAUUAAUUUAAAAUGUACAUUGAUCAUGUCAAUUUUAGUGAUUCAUUUAUCAAAAAAUAUUUUCCUAGAACAUUCUCUAAUAUUUCUGGUGCCUAAGAAAAUUAGUCAAUGGAAAAAUAAACCAAUUUUAAGCUCCAUUUGUUUCGCGGAAAACAACUUGUAUGUAAAAUUUUUUUUUCUAUGGAAUUUUUUUUCAGAAAAUAUUUUCUAUUAUUUGGUUGCAAUGUUAAACUAAAUAUGUGUUUAUAUAAUAUAUGUAUAAGUGUUUUUACAUUGAAAUAAGAUUAUCAAAUUUUAGAAAAUGAAAAAUGAGUUUUUUUUUUUUUUUCUUUGAUCAAGAAAAUAUUAUCUGUGGACUAUUUCCACUCAGUGUCCUAAAUGCUACAAAAUGUGAAAAAUACUUACGUAGCCCUAGUUAUUUUUAUUUCAAUGCCAUUUCAUCUCUGUUUAAAAAAGUAAAAGUUGUUGUUUUUGAGAACAAUGGUUUGUUUACUGGGCGUGAUGGGGUACAAUGGAUAUAUUGUCAGAAAUAUAACAACAACUAGGCAUUAAUUCCAAACUAAUUGGGUUGGUUAUAAUUAUAUGAAAUCUAAACUCCACCAAUGUGAGUUUAGCAAAGGAUAGUAGGUCUAAGGCUUGGCAAAGGAGGAGGGUUGUUGUAGAGUCUGCGUAGAACUCAGUCAAUGUUUUCACGAGUGUGGAUCUUUUGAUAAAUUGUCACUCAAUUACUGUGGACUUAGAGCUAUCAUAUUAGGGAAGAAUGGUUGCAGCAUUAAGAGUUUAACUGGUUACGUUUUAAUCGGACAACAUGUCAUAAAAAAUGCCAUGUUUCAAUAUUGGAAACUUGAAAGGUCUUUU
rnacentral:misc_RNA from 1 species